rnacentral:rRNA from 1 species
GGGGAAUAUUGCGCAAUGGGGGAAACCCUGACGCAGCAACGCCGCGUGAAGGAAGAAGGCUUUCGGGUCGUAAACUUUUGUCUUCAGGGACGAUAAUGACGGUACCUGAGGAGGAAGCCACGGCUAACUACGUGCCAGCAGCCGCGGUAAUACGUAGGUGGCAAGCGUUGUCCGGAUUUACUGGGUGUAAAGGGCGUGUAGGCGGGAUGGCAAGUCAGAUGUGAAAUACCAAGGCUCGACCUUGGGGCUGCAUUUGAAACUGCUAUUCUUGAGUGUCGGAGAGGGAAGCGGAAUUCCUAGUGUAGCGGUGAAAUGCGUAGAUAUUAGGAGGAACACCAGUGGCGAAGGCGGCUUUCUGGACGAUAACUGACGCUGAGGCGCGAAAGCGUGGGGAGCAAAC